UCAUGGUGAACGCCGCGUUUAAAACGUCUGAUAACCAAUCGUUUUGUGCGUGGGAGAAUGGCUCUUCAGCCUUGUCAUUCAGUGCCACCCAGUGGUCAUCUAUGCCAAUUGCUCGAGUCUGUGAUCCACAGGAUGCCAAAUUUCAACUCACCAGGCAAGGCGAUGCCUGUUUUCUAAAUGUGAAUCUCGCUUCUUGUAGAACUGAAGUGUGGUCAGAAGACUGUGAAGUCUGGCAAAGCAAUUACCUCAGCAUCGGAUCUUACUGUCUUCUUCUCCCGUCCUGUAGGCAGAUUUCACAUUUCAUUAAGUUCUUGUCAUUCGUCCCACAAGGAUUGCACCUGAGCUAGGAGGCUAAGAAGAAAGGCAGAAUUGAUACGCAAAAAUGGAACAACUUCUACAUGGUAAUGUAAGUGUAAGUCCUGAG
ensembl:lncRNA